GACGAACGCUGGCGGCGUGCUUAACACAUGCAAGUCGAACGGAAAGGCCCUGCUUUUGUGGGGUGCUCGAGUGGCGAACGGGUGAGUAACACGUGAGUAACCUGCCCUUGACUUUGGGAUAACUUCAGGAAACUGGGGCUAAUACCGGAUCGGAGCUCCUGCUGCAUGGUGGGGGUUGGAAAGUUUCGGCGGGUGGGGAUGGACUCGCGGCUUAUCAGCUUGUUGGUGGGGUAGUGGCUUACCAAGGAUUUGACGGGUAGCCGGCCUGAGAGGGUGACCGGCCACAUUGGGACUGAGAUACGGCCCAGAGUCCUACGGUAGGCAGCAGUGGGGAAUAUUGCACAAUGGGCGGAAGCCGGAUGCAGCAACGCCGCGUGCGGGAUGACGGCCUUCGGGUUGUAAACCGCUUUCGCCUGUGACGAAGCGGGAGUGACGGUAAUGGGUAAAGAAGCACCGGCUAACUACGUG
rnacentral:rRNA from 1 species